rnacentral:tRNA from 1 species
UAGAAGUUAGUUAAACUUAUAACAUAUAUUUGUCAUAUUUAAAUUGUCUUUAAGACACUUCUUA